rnacentral:misc_RNA from 1 species
GAUGAAGAACGUAGUGAAAUGCGAUAAAUAAUAUGAAUUGCAGAAUUCAGUGAAUCAUCGAAUCUUUGAACGCACAUUGCGCCCCCUGGUAUUCCGGGGGGCAUGCCUGUCCGAGCGUCAUUACAACCCUCAAGCUCAGCUUGGUGUUGGGCCCCGCCGCCCCGGCGGGCCCUAAAGUCAGUGGCGGUGCCGUCCGGCUCCGAGCGUAGUAAUUCUUCUCGCUCUGGAGGUCCGGUCGUGUGCUCGCCAGCAACCCCCAAUUUUUUUCAGGUUGACCUCGGAUCAGGUAGGGAUACCCGCUGAACUUAAGCAUAUCAAUAAGCGGAGGA